rnacentral:lncRNA from 1 species
CACGCUCAAAAUUGUGCUUUUGGAAUAGCUUUUAGGUUUCAAAAUCGUUUAAAAAAAAAAAAGGUUUGACAUUUUAACUUAAAUCUUUAUAAAGAAUAGAUAUUGAAAGUCAAAAAUCAUGCAAGGAUGCUCCUAAGCAAUGGAAUUAAGUACUUACUAGGCACAUUGUUUUCCCUUUUUUGAGAAAAAGGCUCUAUCAAACUUAAGUGCUUGUUGAUAAGCCACCAUAAUCCAAUCAUGGCCUGAAUAUGUUUAUAGUUUUUUAGACAUGAAGUCCUAAAAGAUUUUGCAAGCAAAUCCUAAAGGACUUGUUAAACACAUUUGGUUAACUUGGUCGACCAACACUUAUGUUUGAAAUUUAGCUGGCCCUCUUUUUGUAAGGUUUCACAAAAUUGGUAAUCCAAAAGCAUCCUAAGAAUCCUAGUACAGGGCAAAGUAAACCUUGACCAACGUCAUAAUGUUAACCAACAAUAAAGUACAUAUGCAUAAUCAGGUCAGGAAAUGUCGUCUGGAUUUCCAGCUUAGUCACUGGAUUGGCAGACAAUCACUAGAUGACUGACAGCCUCUGAAGUUUCGUGAAUACCAAAACAUGAUUUAAAUUUAGCAAUAUUAACCUGAAUACUUAUUUACAGAAGAUUUCUUAAAAUACCCAUUCA